rnacentral:rRNA from 1 species
UAGGGGGCAAGCGUUAUCCGGAUUUACUGGGUGUAAAGGGAGCGUAGACGGCAGCGCAAGUCUGAAGUGAAAUGCCGGGGCUUAACCCCGGAACUGCUUUGGAAACUGUGCAGCUAGAGGGCAGGAGAGGUAAGUGGAAUUCCUAGUGUAGCGGUGAAAUGCGUAGAUAUUAGGAGGAACACCAGUGGCGAAGGCGGCUUACUGGACUGUAACUGACGCUGAGGCACGAAAGCGUGGGUAUCGAA